rnacentral:sRNA from 1 species
GUUUUUAGUCUUUUCGUAUGUUUACAAGUCUUUACAGGUGCAUAUCUACUUUUGAGAGCUAUAGAGC